UAUCCUCCGACUUACAAUCCUUCCAACAAUUUUCGGUGGUUUUAACAUCACCCCGUUAAGAGGUUGAAGAGCAAGUGUGUAGGUCUGAUACGACGGUGAGUCUCACACUCAGACCGGGCAUCAUUAUCAUUAAAAGCGAAUAUGAGUUUUAAACCGUCUGCAGUUGGGGUUGAGCUGGCUGAUUCUGGUAGAGACAUGGUUCGUCAGACAGUCUGAAAUCGUGCAGGGCUCGGCUCCUUCGGCUUUCCCUUUCUGCGUUUUCCUUUCUCCCACAAGCUAUAAUAGAAACUAAUCUUCAAAAUCUAAACAUUCCAGGGCCUGUCCUUUUGUGCAGGCAUCUCGCCCUCCCUGUUCAGAGCAGCACUAUGCUGUGAGUGUGUUCCUAUUUACAUGCGCAGGUUCCCCGCUGGUGGGACCCGGGCGGGCAGACAGACCAUCCAUCAUCCAUCCUCCUCCCCGCCGAGCACUGCAUCGGUCGCCAAUCCCAUGGCCGGUGGGGCAGCACCUGCGAGACAGCCCGCAGCUUCCCUCUGCUCUCCUCGCCACGCCUCGCGGGUCGGUGGUGCCCUUGUGAGCUACUGCGUUCUCCAAGGCCAAAAGCAGAAAGGGCAGAAGACAUCUUCUUUCCUACAUACCCACACACUGACAAGGAUGGCAAGAAUCUGAAGAGACUGGGAUGCUCCUGCACACUGUUGAAAUGGACUUACACUGGGUCAGAUGUCCUACCCGCCUGUUCAUGGACUUCUGCUAGAACAAGGGAGAAAGGUUCCUCGUUAAUGAUCACAGGUGGACUAGGAUUUCCAAACACGCUGACUCCAUCCCAGUGAAGGAGGGCUUCUCCAAUACUCCUGCACUCAGAUCUUAAAGCAUCGAGUAGAGCAGUAUUCAGAGGAAUCUAGAAUUUCCCUUGGUGUUGAGACGUGACUGGCAGGAUGCACACUUCUUUGGGAUGGCCAGAGCCAGUGCAAGCAUCACAGCCUUAGAAAAUGAAGGGAGCUAGUCAAAGCCUCAUCAGUCUAAAUGACUGCUUCGUGCCACAGGUGGAGCGGAUGCUUGGGGAAGAAGAAGGAUGAUGACCCACAGCACAGCAUGACUUUACGAAGGAGAGCCUGUCCUCCUGGGGUUCUACCUAGACUGAAAACGAGGCCCUGCUCCACGUUCUGCCAGCCUAAGUCAGCCGGAGCAGACAGCUCUAUCUUGACAAGAGACUAUUUGAUACUGCUUUGCACUCAUUUUCUUUAAGCACUGUAGAACUCUGUGCAGCUGGCUGUGUCUCCAUCAGGCGCGGCUCUGACACCAGAGAGCCAUCAACCGUUUGAUCCCACCACACUGGGUUCCUGGGAUGAUGCCAUAUUUUUUUUUUUCGAGUAUCUUUAUUAUCAAUGGUCUAUAAUGAAAGGGGUCGAGAUUUGCUUCUUCCCCAGCCGAAGGGAUCAUCAAAGCCAAGCUGGGCUGAGUUGGAGGAUUGCACAUGGAGAUGGCCCCACCCAGCCUGACGGGUAUCUGGUGUUUCAACUCUUGCUUCCACCUCAAGUGACAUGAUCAAGACGGUAUCUGUCAUCCUUAGGGCCUACAAAAGUAUACCCCGAGACCCAGCCAAGUGGAAAACAGAUAAAGAUAUUCAGAGACUCAGAUAUGUCACCUGAUGUCCUCAGGUUCAAAAUUCCAGUUUCAAAGCCCCUCUCCUCAGGAAGGCAGCCUCUCUGGAGCUGCCUCUCCCUGACCCUGACCCUGACCCUGACCCUGACCUGACCUGACCACCAGUCCUCUCUUUCUGUAAACUUGCUUGCCGAAGAAAAGUUCACUUGGCACUCGUCUUAAGUAUUGACUCUCUGUCUUGAGGGUGACGGCUGUAAAUUCUCUCUCCUAAGAUCCAAGUCGAUUUGUUAUCAAAUCAGGCAUUGAGAAGCUGAUUCAUUGCUAUUCGGCGCUGUACUGAUUUAUAUGCAGAAUGUAAAACAGAUGCCUUCUGUGAUACAUAUUUAUGGUGAGUGCUGUUCAAGGAAGAUUUAUUACGGAUUCCUUUGUCGGGGUUUGCAUGAGCAGAGCCAUGAUGACUUGUAUUUCCUCUCAGCUGCCAAUGCCAAACUCAUUAAAAAGAGGUGUGACUAUUAAUAUACAUUGUAAUACUGACAGGCUCUAAUUUAUAACACCCUGGCUGGCUGGAGUAUUCUCCUGACUUGAGAGGUGGUUUCUGCAUUUUUUCCUCUGUAGCUAAAUGGUGCAAAUAGAGAUGUAUAUUCUCUCGUGUUCUCUCGCUCAUUUGCUCGCUCGCUCGCUCGCUCGCUCCUCUCUCCCUCUCUCUGCCUCUCUCCCUCCCUCUCUCCUUCCCUUCCUCCUCCUCUCUCUCCCACCUUCCCUCUCUCUUUUUCCUUAUCACUUUGUCUUUUAUAGUCAUCUAAGUCAAGGUACAGUCUUCUCAAAAGAUGCAACCGCUUCAUUGAUCUUCCUUCCAUUGCCCUCCCAAGCCAAGCCCCAGAACAAAUGCCACCAGAGUUUGUAAUAGUGCAGAACUGGGUUUUAGUGCCCAGCAAACACAGGAACACUGUUGUUCUCUGUGCGGGCACAAUCUCUCUCUAGGACGAAUUAGCGAGGAAGCGGUUCCAAGCAGCUCGUAACAAGCGUUCUUGGCAGCCGAUGUCUGAAGUGAGGCUCUGAAGUUGAACAGCAUAAGUUGCUCUGCACAAGGGAGUCGGAUAGUUAUCACCCAAAGGACAGUGUCAGGAAAGACACAUUUCUAAUGACAGGAACCUGAAGCAGAUGAGGGCAGUGUGUCAGAUGAGGAAGGAGGGAGGGACCAUGGAGUGCUACCUGGAGGAGCUGGUCAGAGAAGCAGGUCUGAUCAGGAACUCAGCACCUGCAAAAGGACUCAAGGACAUCGUCCAGAAUGCUUGAAUAACUAAAUGACACGGGGAGCAUGGAAAUCAACUUUUCCUUUACCUUAAGUUUGAGAAAAAACUAGUUACAGCACAGAAAGCGGAGCACACAGACACGUGAGUUGGGACUCCGCAAAGAACACCUGUGAGAGGCAAUGCCAACAGGUACCAUGCUUAAGUGUGUUUUUAGUAACUCCAUGAAAGCAUGUUUUCUGAGCAGACAGAAACAACGCAAGUAUUCCACCAUCUUUUCAGGGUAUGCAAGCAUGGAUGGACAGUGAGCAUGCCUUGGGUGCAAAGUCCAGGGGUACGGAAGUCAGGAGAUAUGCUACUUGAAUGCCUCAGGCAGGCAGAGGAGUCCAAAUGAGGGCAGAUUAUCUCUUAUAUGAAAAAAAAGAUGCAAAUUUUAAAUGAGAGCUGAACUCUUAUAAAAUCCUAGAUGGUUUCCAGGCAUCUGUUUUAUAGAUUCUUUCUUACAAAUGGUAACAGGGCUCACCAACUUCACUCCAACCCACUCAUACAGAGAAGCCUCCAUACUGGCCAUGGUGUGUCUUUCACUGUGUUGUCCACAGCAUCUGAGAGUUAGCACAACACAUUGGGUCAUGGGUGAAGGUGAUGGCCAACAGUAAUGUUUUAGAAUAAAUAAAUGACUUUAUAAUGUGACCUCUCUUCACAUCAUCUAAAAUCACUGCAGUUGGCCCUACACGUGCAAAUUCCAAACCCAGAAUAUUAGACCAAAAAUAUUCUUUAAAAAUGACAUGUGAUGAACAUGCACUUGCUCUCUCUUCUCUGUGCAACACAGUGUUGAUACUUUUUACACAGCAUUUAUGUUGUACCAGAUGUCAUAAUAAUUUACACAAUUGUCAUCUAGAGACCAUUUACAGGAUCAUGAGGUUUGCAUACAUUCUAUAGAAAUCAUAUGCUAUGUCAAGUUAUGUAAUGGGCUUGACCAUCUUCCAACUUUUGUUUCUUACGGGAGUCCUGUAACCAAAUACCCCAGGGUACUUCUCAGGGAGAGCUAUGUGAUGACUAAUUUUGGAUGUGAAAUUGAUUGGCUCAAGCAAUUCCUAUGGCAUUAGUCAGUCACAUGUUUGGGGGUGUCAUUGGAAGCUAUCUCAGAGAAUUUUGACUAAGGGAAAAUACUCCUUUGCCAGGCCUUGUAUUAGAGUCCUCCACUGAGAGAACGAAAACACAUCAGGUACCUGAACAGCCAACUCAGCACCAGCUCCCCCUCACUCAUCUGACUCCUGCUGCUGAGAUGUGAGUGCGUAGUAGUCUCCUGCACCCACAGUUCGCACCAGGAAGGACUCUGCCCUUCUGCCUUGUGAACUCUGAGCCAACGUGAAACUUCCCGUCCGCCAAUGGCCUUUUGUCAGCUCUUUGACCAUAGCAAUAAGGAAAAUAACUAAUAGAACAGCUAUUAUUUUUUUUUUAUAAAACAACGGUGUUUCAAGAAAUUUUGACAUUUGUAAGUAAAGAGAGAUAACCUAGGUGGUCCCCAGGCCAAAGUUCUCUCAAUUACACCUAUAUGAUUGACCAUAUAUUUCUAGAAAAUAUUCCUGUGACAAUCCUAAAUGUACAUUAACUAACUUAAAGUGAAAUUGUAUGUGUGCAUAAACACACCACACACAUAAUUGUAAACAGUACGUAUGUAUGUAUGUAUGUAUAAAACCAAUAGAGAACAAUGUAUAAAAAAAUCCAGAAAAUCUACAAAAUCCCGUUUACCAUGUCAAGUCACAAGGAUGACUAUGGGAGCCAUGUGAUCAGGCAAGAUGUGGCUGAGAGGAAGCUUAUUGAUUCAGGGUUGUGGUGCACUGAGUUGCUUUCAGAUGAGGAA